rnacentral:lncRNA from 1 species
UUGUUCUCUGAUAUAAAAAAGCAAAUCAAGAAAUUACUGUAUAUAAUGGUUAAUUAAGCCCAAUGAAGUUAAAAUAAAUUUGUAAUUAUUAUUCUUUUGGAUUUAUAUAGUCCCUGAAAUGGUUAUUUUCAAACAUAAAUUUAAAUGUUUUAAAUAUAUUUAACUGGCAAAUCGGUGUAUUCUUAUGGAUGUCAUUCUCUUCAAAUCAGUCAAAGAGACUUGAGGAUUUUCAGUGAUGCUGGCAACAUCAUUGGUUUUGUUUCCCAUCCCCCCAUCUUUCUCUGUAAUCUAUCCAUUUCUCAGCCAUCUGUAUGUCCAUAUCUAAAGCUGUAUGUGCUUAUAUCUAUUCAGUGAAUGUCAUGAUGCUACUUUGGAAUUUUUUCCAACAUUGCAUUUAUUCUGCAUUGGGUACCCAACAUUUGCUCUAUGAUAGUGUAGUUCUCAUGAGCCACGUGUGGAUAUUAUUACAAUUGUUGUUAUUGUUGUUAGUAGUAGUCUUAUUGAACACAUUAUUCUUCAAGGGUAGACUUUUAAAAACUGUAUUUUAAGAUUUUGUUUCUAUUUACAUGUGUGUGUCUGUCUGUCUGAAUCUCUGCCACAUGUGUAUGGGUGCCUGUGGAGAUCAGAAGUAGUGUUGAAUUCUCUGCAGCUCGUUAUUGGCAGUUGUGAAUUGCCUAUUUGAAUGCUGAGAACUGGAGCCUGGGUCCUCUGAAGAGAAACAAGCACCAUGGAUUUUUAUUUUAUAUUUUUAUUUCAGUAGUCAAAGUUGUCCUCAUUUCAGUGACCCUGAUAGAUUGCUUUUCAGAAUGAUGCUCUCGUGGGUUUUUUGUUUGUUUGUUUUUUGUUUUAUUUUUGUUUUUCUAAAUAGAAUUCAUGUAUAUCUAAGUUUCUUUUAGGUCAUAGGUCAUAUCUUGGCUUUCAUGUUGCUUUUUGAUUAUUGUCAGAUACUGCUUUCAAAGGUCAUCCCACCUUUUUAGGUGGCUUCAGUACUUUCCCCAAUUUCCUGUCUUUGAUCAUCAACCUGGUCUCCUGGUUCCAGCAUUUACAUCAAUGUUUAAUUCUUCUCUCUUAGCUAAUAGGACCAUUUGAAUGCAUGCCUAUGCUUCGUUUCUUUGAAUUCCCACUAGUUUAUGAUGUUCAGCAACUAUUAUCAUCAGGGUCAUUUUCAGUUUUGUUAUGUUUUCUCAUUUACUCUUUAGUCAUGCUCACUUGACAUAAAGGCCACCAUAAUAUUUGAGCCCUUUCUCCUUUCCCCUUUUCUUUGUAUUAUGUUCAAUUCUGAAAUGUAUAUGAGAUUCAUACCAAUCUCACUUUAUAAAAUAAAAUUUCAGUGUGUUUAUGUUUUUGUGUGCAUAUGCACGUGCAUGUACAUGUCAUAUGUACUAGGGAGUUUUACUAAGGUUAUUCACAGGAGCUUGGGUGAUAUAAUCAGUCUUCUUAUUUUUGUUGAGGAUUAUUUGGCUAUCUGAGCUCAUUUGUGCUUCCAGAUGUAGCUUAAUAUGUUUUUGGGUUUUUUUGUUUUGUUUUUGUUUUUGCUUUUGUUUUUUCUGAUUCUCUGAAGAAUAGUAUUAGAAUCUUUAUUGGAUUGAAUUGAAUGUGUAUAUUUCUUUUGGUCAAAUGGCUAUUUCACAAUAUUAAUUUUUCCAGUUUAUUAGCAUGCAAAAUCUUCAGGUUUCUUCCUCAACUUGUUAUGUUUUACAGUUUUAAUUACAGGGGCCUUUGCGUCUCAUUGUCCCGGGAGUUGCACAGAGACUUUACAUACUUCUUUAAGGCUGUUAGACUAGCAAGGUUAUUUCCAUGCCUGAGUUCUUUUUUUCUCAACAUGUUUCCUUUUUCUUUAUUUUUUUAAAACUUUUUAUUUAAAACAGGUGUUUUCACUGUGUAGCCCAGAUGGCUACAAUUUAAACUUCUCAUGUCUCAGCCUCCCAAGUUCUAGAAUUACAAGGUGUGUGUGUCAUCACAUCUGGCUUUCUCCCCCUUUUUUUAAUAUGCAUAAUUCAGGAAUUUGUCUUUCAAAUCUAGGUAAUACAAAGGCAAUAUAAAUUCUUUUAUUUAUAACUAGGGGUCAGAUAGAUUAAGUUGACUUAGAUAUCUUAAUGAUGCAAAUUUUAGAUAUAUUUGAAAGCCACCAGAAAAACCUUAAAGUGUAAUUUUGAUCUUACUUUCCUAAUAAGUAAAAAAGCAAAAAAGGUAUUCUUGUCUGAAGGAAAAUAAUUUUUAAAUUUUAUUUUUAAGGUAGUAUUUGAUUCAUGUAUUUUAUGAAUCAGACAGUCUUAGACUCAUUAUUCAAAGGGAAUAAUUAUAUAUACAAAUAAUUUUGAGUCUUCUCAACUUGUUUAUUGAAAAAACUUUAUUCUUGUGAUACUAUUAUAUGUAUACAUAUUAAUUGUUUACUAAUACUUUCACUCAAGUUGAAGAAAUAACAUUUCAACUCCUGAGAAUAUGAAAUCUAUGGAGAGUAUUUUCUUAAUUUGCUGCAAUUUUUCUGAAUACGCAGCCUGUGUUCUAUGGAACCCAUUUACCUGGGCUUGCAUUAUAAAGCAUCACUGCCAGAAAUUAAUUCAGCAGGUUUGUGGUAAUCUGAGAAUUCACAUUUCUAAAUACAUUCUCAGGUGAUGCGGGUGCUGUUGUGUGUGACUUCCCUUUUAGAAAUAACUGUGGUAACCUAGCCCUGGCUUUCUAAUACGAGACAGAGUUAAAAGGGCGUACACAACAUAUGGUCAUAUGGCUAACAGUGUAGUUAGUGACCUUUCUGUUCUGUGCUGAGGGAGACAUUGGUUUAUUUUAGGAGUCCUCAUUUUCAUUUUGUUGCUGGUAAUCUAAAACACUCACAUUGAAAUAUUUGACUUUAAACAUGUAAACAGCAGCCUCUAGCUCAAUUUUUGAAAUUAAUUUAAAUCAUUUCAGUUCCUCCCUAUUUCUGUAAGCACACUAAGACUUUGAAGUAGUAUAUUAUUACUCCUAACCAUAAUAUAGUGAAAAUAUAUAUAAAAGUAUAGGUUUAUAGUUUUUUAUAUAACAGUGAGGUAUUCAUCAUGAAUAUGCUUAGGGAAAUAUAUGUCAAUAG